GAUGAACGCUGGCGGCGUGCCUAACACAUGCAAGUCGAGCGAUUCUCUUCGGAGAAGAGCGGCGGACGGGUGAGUAACGCGUGGGUAACCUGCCCUGUACACACGGAUAACAUACCGAAAGGUAUGCUAAUACGAGAUAAUAUGCUUUUAUCGCAUGGUAGAAGUAUCAAAGUUUUUGCGGUACAGGAUGGACCCGCGUCUGAUUAGCUAGUUGGUAAGGUAACGGCUUACCAAGGCGACGAUCAGUAGCCGACCUGAGAGGGUGAUCGGCCACAUUGGGACUGAGAUACGGCCCAG
rnacentral:rRNA from 1 species